GCUAUACCUACUGUAUGCACUUUUUCCCACGGAGACGGUUUGAUUUAUUUCCCCUCUAAAGGGCGAAUAUCCACGGGACGGGAAGAUGCGAUGUGGUAAAGUGUUACCAAUAUAGUUGAAAGUUGUCGUCGUCAAUGAUAAAUAUACACCAAGCAGUUAUUCGCAGGCAACACAAUCAACAAGGCAAAACGAUCGUUCUCUGUCAACUACACGUGAUUCCCGAUAUACCGCCGCUAACGCAGAUGUCUGUAAUUAAUUCGCGGACAUUUUCCUCCCGACUUAUUGUCACCGUCGUAUACGCGCUGUAUACCAUAUAAGAACAGAACCGACUCACACAUCAUUUCCGAU